AUACGUAGGUGACAAGCGUUAUCCGGAUUUACUGGGUGUAAAGGGCGUGUAGGCGGUUUAGCAAGUCAGAAGUGAAAUUCACGGGCUUAACUUGGGUGCUGCUUCUGAAACUGCUUUACUUGAGUGCUGGAGAGGAUAGUGGAAUUCCUAGUGUAGAGGUAAAAUGCGCAGAUAUUAGGAGGAAACCCGGUGGCGAAGGCGGCUAUCUGGACAGUAACUGACGCUGAGGCGCGAAAGCACGGGGAGCAAACAGGAUUAGAUACCCUAGUAGUCCACGCUGUAAACGAUGACAACUAAAUAUUGCCGCGAGGCAGUGUUGAAGCUAACGCAUUAAGUUGUCCGCCUGGGGAGUACGGUCGCAAGACUGAAACUUAAAGGAAUUGACGGGG
rnacentral:rRNA from 1 species